GAAAGUUUGAAGAACUUUACAGUUUUUCUCAAUUGCUUUGGCUCAGUUCUCAAAUGUUUUUUUUAUUUCCCAAAACAUUAAGUUCAUAUCUCUGAACAAUUCGCUUCUUGUUCACAUCAGAUUGGAAUUUCUUAUUGAUUUGAGAAAAUUGCAAAUGCUUUGGCACAUGUGUGCAAAGAGUACAUACAACUGUCUGCAGUUUGGACAACAAAUAAUUGUAUAUGGCUUGUUGAUCAAAACUGAUGAUUUGAUUCUCACUUACACUAUCAAACACUUCAGAACUUCUCAGACAUUUUUUAUUGUGUAAGCCAUCACAUUCAAAACGAUCUAUUCAAUUAUCAUAAUUAGUAUACAUGAAUGUAUAUUCUAAAAUAUAUCUGACAUUGACAUUGUUUGUAAUGUUUGCUAAAUUGGCACAUGACUUCUAAUUGCAUUCGCAAUCUAAUUAUAAAUUACCUCUAAUAUGAAUCAACCAUUUAACCAUUUAACCAAUCAACUUUGGGAAUAUAUAUAUAUAUAUAUAUAUAUAUAUAUAUAUAUAGAGAGAGAGAGAGAGAGAGAGAGAGAGAGUAUAUAUUUAGAGUAUAUAUAUAUAUAUAUAUAUAUAUAGAGAGUAUUUAGAGUAUAUAGAGUAUAUAUAGAAUGGAGGACAUUCACAACCCUGAACUGCAGCAACAUGCUCAUGGAAGAGCAAUUGGAAGGCGUGUAAGAAUACGUGGUGGUGGUGGUAGAGAAAGAAAUAAUCGAGGAAGAGGUGGAAAUAGAAGAGUCAGAGUCUCUGAUGAAAUCAGAGCCACACUUGUGGAUCAUGUCAUAAAUCUGACCAUUGCAGGGGAUGGGUGCGUCAUUCAAGGAGAUUUUUUCCACGUUGUGUGGCAAUGGUAACAUCAGAUGUGAUGUUGAUGAAAAUCUUUGGCCUGACCAACGUGAGCGACAAGAUGUCCACCAAGAAUAAUUUGUUUCUUUUUCUUUUUUUUUCCAUGAAUGUUAUUUGUUGUUUGUGUAUUUGUGGUAAUACACAAAUAUGAGAUGUAAUGUGAAAUCUUGUUAUUCUUGUCAGUUACUUUACAUGUACAGUAAAUACACUUGUAUUGUGUAUACACAUGAAGUACAAAAAUAAACACUGUAAAAAUACAAAUGUUCAUAGAAUUUUUUUUCUACAUACUAUUGACUUUUCUCAACAAAUAUGAGAUUUGUUUACAGACAGUAAACCCUUAAUUUUCAUGGUUGACUUAUGGUGAAAAAAUAACUAAACAUUUUGACCAGUGUGGCUCACACAAUGACAAAAAUACUUUAGAUUUUGGUGGCCUUGGCCAAAUUAUUGACAAAAUAACUAGGUUUUGAAGCAUGAAUUAAAUGUUUUGGGUGAGUAACUACAUUUUGCAGACAUGCUAUAAAGUUUUGAAGUUCCUGCAAACAGUU